rnacentral:rRNA from 1 species
AUUGAACGCUGGCGGCAUGCCUUACACAUGCAAGUCGAACGGCAGCACGGGUGCUUGCACCUGGUGGCGAGUGGCGAACGGGUGAGUAAUACAUCGGAACGUACCUUAUCGUGGGGGAUAACGCAGCGAAAGCUGUGCUAAUACCGCAUACGCCCUGAGGGGGAAAGCGGGGGAUCGCAAGACCUCGCGCGAUUAGAGCGGCCGAUGCCUGAUUAGCUAGUUGGUGGGGUAAAAGCCCACCAAGGCGACGAUCAGUAGCUGGUCUGAGAGGAAGAUCAGCCAAACUGGGACUGAGACACGGCCCAGACGCCUACGGGAGGCAGCAGUGGGGAAUUUUGGACAAUGGGGGCAACCCUGAUCCAGCAAUGCCGCGUGAGUGAAGAAGGCCUUCGGGUUGUAAAGCUCUUUUGUCAGGGAAGAAACACCGGCUCUAACACAGUCCGGGAAUGACGGUACCUGAAGAAUAAGCACCGGCUAACUACGUGCCAGCCGCCGCGGUAA